UGAAUGAUCCAUGUGACCAACGCAUCAAUAUGAAACUUGCAUGACGUCCCUACAAUGCAAAUGAUAUCAUGCCUCGGGUACAGAUGUCAACAAAUUAAUUAACAUCUAUUCAUCAAUAUAUGUCGUAAAUAUAACAAUAAUAGAAACUCAAAUUUUUAUGAACCAAGUAGUUUCGAAGUUUAUGGUGAAAUCUUUUUAUUUGCUGUAUAACUGAUCAUACAGAUACCAAUUAUUCAUCCUUGAUAUUUUUGAUUUUAAAUUACUUCACCAAACCUCAUCUUAUCCUCAUUUCCUCAACAAAAUAUAAGCAAAGUACUGUAUUAAUACUGAACGCCAAGUGCCAUUGUAAAUAACGAGUUCAGGGGAGACUGGGACGCUGAUCACGUGACAUUGCUGAUCACAUGGCUGUUAUAAUAGGAUACAUAGUCAAAUGUAAUAAAUAAGGUGGAAUUCAAGUUGUUUUAUUCGUUUAUAUUAUCUAUAGAUAAAGAAGACAAUUUCAUUUUAAUUUUUGCCCCCCAAAACCUAAUUUUUUAGUCUCUUUUUUUUUUAUUGUAUGCUGACAUAUUCUGACGAGUUGUACAAGUUCAGUGUUGAAAAUGCAAUAUGCAAUCAAAGUAUUUGAAACUACAAAAAAUACAAGUGCUUAAAUUAAAUGGUAACAU
rnacentral:misc_RNA from 1 species